CGAUAGUGGGUGGGUCGGUCCCACCAAAAUCAAUUUUCUUCCAUCUCAAACAAAACCGAAGAGACGGACACUUCGAUUGUGUAACGUCGCCGUUCACCACCAUCAAAGCUAUUAAUAGCUUUGAAUCCAUUAUGUCAUUCAUACUCUUCAUCUCCCCCUUGACUACACCUAUAUAAAUUCCCCUGAAUCCAAAUCUCCUCAGGUAGCUUUCAUGGUUGAGAAACAAUCAGAUUUCCAGAUCCGAAGAUUCUGAUAAAUCUAGCGCCAAAGCUUCGGAAAUAUCGACCAGCGUAUCCAUGGCUAAGAAUCCAGCGAAAUCACCACCAAAACUCCAACUGAAUCGACCACUGGUUCCAUUGAUAAGAAAAAAUAGGUUGCUUGGCUCCAUCUAAAACCCUAAUGAGAACAAUUCGGUUAUCCAUAGAUUUAUUCCUGCUGCUCGCCCCACUCACUACCGUCCAUCUUUACGAGUUCCAUAAAGAGUGUUAGAGAAUUUGUUGCAGUAUGCAAGUGAUUUAGCCAUUACAAGAAUCCAAAUGCUGUUCGACAAGUUCAAGAGUAUCCUUUUUCUCGAUUUAUUUGUUUCAUAGUGUUUAAUCCAUGGUUGCCUUUUGACAUGUUUGCAUCUUUAUGAGAAUGCAUUGGUUCUGCUUUUCUUAGCACUAAUGGUCCUGUCAGAUUAGUUUCAGGUAAAGCGAGUUUAGAUUUGAUUUGUGUUUAGUUUGGUUAGAAGAAUUGUUUUUGUUUGUUAAUUCGUUUUUAAGGUACAGUCAUCUGAUGCUGAACAUGGUGUCACUUCUGCAGUAAACGAGCGACUCUUAACGAGUUUGUUGAGCUUAGCAUAAGAUCAAAGAACAUGUGGCAACGAAAAAUGAUGUCCAUAUCAGAAGCCAUGCUCAAACAAUCCUUAUCCUACAAAGACCAGAACUGGAACAUGUGUCUGAAUGAUAGAAAAGAGUCCUUAUCGAUCAGAAAAAGUUUCCCUUCCUGAGGUCAAAUUUCAUGGUCAACAUGACAUCUAGAUGGAAAAGAGUCUUAUUUCUCCUCAUGUAAUCACCAGUAAACGUAUUUUUACUGGUAAACGUAUGUUUUUUUCCUUUCGGUUCAAUUAACCAUUCGUUUUAUGUAACAAUACAAAUUAAAAUCCAUUAGUAGCCCAAUAACUAAAGUUAAUUAAUCCAAAA